GAUGAACGCUGGCGGCGUGCCUAAUACAUGCAAGUCGAGCGAACAGACGAGGAGCUUGCUCCUCUGACGUUAGCGGCGGACGGGUGAGUAACACGUGGAUAACCUACCUAUAAGACUGUGAUAACUUCGGGAAACCGGAGCUAAUACCGGAUAAUAUAUUGAACCGCAUGGUUCAAUAGUGAAGGACGGUUUUGCUGUCACUUAUAGAUGGAUCCGCGCCGCAUUAGCUAGUUGGUAAGGUAACGGCUUACCAAGGCGACGAUGCGUAGCCGACCUGAGAGGGUGAUCGGCCACACUGGAACUGAGACACGGUCCAGACUCCUACGGGAGGCAGCAGUAGGGAAUCUUCCGCAAUGGGCGAAAGCCUGACGGAGCAACGCCGCGUGAGUGAUGAAGGUCUUCGGAUCGUAAAACUCUGUUAUUAGGGAAGAACAAAUGUGUAAGUAACUAUGCACGUCUUGACGGUACCUAAUCAGAAAGCCACGGCUAACUACGUG
rnacentral:rRNA from 1 species